GAGAACAUGCGAUCAAUUAGCAAAACUUGGAAUUAGUAUCGCAACCGCGCAAAUGAUACAAGACGGAGGGAUUUUAAUUGUCACCUCACAACUUUCCUACACUUAAUAUCAAUUCCUACUCUAUCUUCUACAUACACGCAAAGCCCAAAAUCAGCAAUAGAAAGUAUGCAAGUACAAACAUCAACUCAUUUUCUUCAACUCUGCAGCCCCUUUUCAACUCAAAGCCAUGCUGCUAAGGGUCAUUCAUCUAUAACCUACGCAUGCUUCAUCUUGUCAAACACUCAAGUGUCAGCACCAACUCCACUCUUUAUACUAUUAGCCAACAACCCUUUCUUCUAUAAUUUCAGUCAACAAAUUCUCCUUCAUAUCUUCCUUCGUGUACCAACUCUCAAAGGGAAAGAAUUUUGAUUCAGCUUCUGGCAGACUCAGGAAGGUAAGAAUGGCCAACUCUUUCACCAUUUCUCCUUGAGUUUAGUCUGCAAUUGUUAAACAAAAUAUGCAAUUCAUUUCAGCUCUUUCUUAUUGAACAACAUAGCAGCAUAGACAGCCAAAAGAACAAACAUUCAAGGUAUUUUUACAUCAGUAUGCUUUCUUCUUUGUUACACGCCUCAUUUCCCAUCAAGCAUAUGAUCAGUUUAUUUGAAAAGCAUAGUAGGAGACGAAUGGUAUAAUCUUUUAUCCAUAUAGAAUCAACAACCCAUGACUUUCACACAAGGCAAAUACAAUGAGAAUUUCUUACGACACAUAGCAAAAUCAUGCCUAGUGUAAUCUCCAGCAUAAGCAUAAUCGGAGUAUGGAAAACCAAGAUUUCAUAAGAUAGAAUGAACUUAGAAAAUGCUAGUAACCUGUUGAGUUGUAUCCUUGGUGGCCUAUUUGCCGUUCAAUCUGGGGGUUGGGGCAGAGCGCCAUGGCUGCGCCUAAGGGCGACACCAAGCAGACGAGUUCUGUUCCGAUGGGCAGAGUGCAUCGACGGAAGCAUCCGCUAGCUGGAACUCAAGGGCGAAGGCAGCAAGACACCUAAGGUCGGGAGACCCGAUGCUGACGGCGACUCUCGCCGAUUCACAUGUCCAACGGCGAUCCAUCGCGCCGGAGAA
rnacentral:lncRNA from 1 species